UCUCGUUCGCAGCUGAUCCCCAUUUCUUGUUGAAGAAGAUGGACUUUCACCAUAACACCAAACUCGAAUAUGUCUCUACCGCCGCCGUCGCCGCCACCAUGCCCAACCGUCUUCCACAAGAAUCCGUCGUUAUCGUCAUUACCGGCAUCUCUAUCUGAUUUCAUCUUCACUGCUUUCUCUCUCUUCAUUCUAAUCUCUUCUCCCAAACCAACCUCCAAUUUCUUCCACAAAUUCCCACCCCCACUCUCUUUCCC
rnacentral:lncRNA from 1 species